rnacentral:rRNA from 1 species
CUACGGAGGGUCCAAGCGUUAUCCGGAAUCAUUGGGUUUAAAGGGUGCGCAGGCGGUUUAUUAAGUCAGUGGUGAAAUCUCGGGGCUCAACCUCGAAACUGCCAUUGAUACUGAUAAACUUGAGUUCAGUUGGAGUAGGCGGAAUGUGUAGUGUAGCGGUGAAAUGCUUAGAUAUUACACAGAACACCGAUAGCGAAGGCAGCUUACUAAACUGAUACUGACGCUGAGGCACGAAAGCGUGGGGAGCGAACAGAAUUAGAAACCCUAGUAGUCC